rnacentral:tRNA from 1 species
AAUGAAUUGCCUGAUUAAAGGGCUACUUUGAUAGAGUAGAUAAUGUAAUGCUAUUACAUUCAUUA